rnacentral:misc_RNA from 1 species
GAUGAAGAACGCAGCGAAAUGCGAUAAGUAAUGUGAAUUGCAGAAUUCAGUGAAUCAUCGAAUCUUUGAACGCACAUUGCGCCCGCCAGUAUUCUGGCGGGCAUGCCUGUUCGAGCGUCAUUACAACCCUCAGGCCCCCGGGCCUGGCGUUGGGGAUCGGCGGAGCCCCCCGUGGGCACACGCCGUCCCCCAAAUGCAGUGGCGGUCCCGCCGCAGCUUCCAUCGCGUAGUAGCUAACACCUCGCGACUGGAGAGCGGCGCGGCCACGCCGUAAAACACCCAACUCUUCUGAAGUUGACCUCGAAUCAGGUAGGAAUACCCGCUGAACUUAAGCAUAUCAAUAAGCGGAGG